AGGGGUGUCGCCAAGCGGUAAGGCAACGGACUCUGACUCCGUCAUUCAAAGGUUCGAAUCCUUUUACCCCUGCCA
rnacentral:tRNA from 1 species